rnacentral:rRNA from 1 species
UACGGAGGAUGCAAGCGUUGUCCGGAAUCAUUGGGCGUAAAGCGCGUGUAGGCGGUCCGGUAAGUCCGCUGUGAAAGUCGGGGGCUCAACCCUCGGAUGCCGGUGGAUACUGUCGGGCUUGAGUACGGAAGAGGCGAGUGGAAUUCCUGGUGUAGCGGUGAAAUGCGCAGAUAUCAGGAGGAACACCAAUGGCGAAGGCAGCUCACUGGGACGGUACUGACGCUGAGACGCGAAAGCGUGGGGAGCAAACAGG